rnacentral:misc_RNA from 1 species
AUAGUCUUUCUUAUCUCUCCUGUAUUUGUAAUAUUGGACAUUUAUUGUAGUCAUAAACACUGUUCAACUUAAAUGUACAGACAGGAAGACAUUUUAUAACAUACUAUAAUUAUUUUUGUUGUGGUUGAGUUGUUUUUUUUUAAAUGUUAUGUCCUCUUAUUGAUUAUACUUUUUAAAUAACUGAAUUUUCAUGUAGAUUGUAAUUUUUGAGAUUAAAGAUAAAUGCUUACGUAAAGAGUACAUUUUGAAUGAAAUAAAAGUCAUUUAGUAAUGUCAUUGCAUAAUUAUGUUGUAUCAACAUUGUUUAAACACUGUUUACACAGAUUUCAAAUCACUGAACCACUUAAACAAUGUAGCCAAUAAAAUUUUAAAAUG